CUAGAUUGACGCUGGCGGCAGGCCUAACACAUGCAAGUCGAACGGUAACAGGAAACAGCUUGCUGUUUCGCUGACGAGUGGCGGACGGGUGAGUAAUGUCUGGGAAACUGCCUGAUGGAGGGGGAUAACUACUGGAAACGGUAGCUAAUACCGCAUAACGUCGCAAGACCAAAGAGGGGGACCUUCGGGCCUCUUGCCAUCGGAUGUGCCCAGAUGGGAUUAGCUUGUUGGUGGGGUAACGGCUCACCAAGGCGACGAUCCCUAGCUGGUCUGAGAGGAUGACCAGCCACACUGGAACUGAGACACGGUCCAGACUCCUACGGGAGGCAGCAGUGGGGAAUAUUGCACAAUGGGCGCAAGCCUGAUGCAGCCAUGCCGCGUGUAUGAAGAAGGCCUUCGGGUUGUAAAGUACUUUCAGCGGGGAGGAAGGGAGUAAAGUUAAUACCUUUGCUCAUUGACGUUACCCGCAGAAGAAGCACCGGCUAACUCCGUGCCAGCAGCCGCGGUAAUACGGAGGGUGCAAGCGUUAAUCGGAAUUACUGGGCGUAAAGCGCACGCAGGCGGUUUGUUAAGUCAGAUGUGAAAUCCCCGGGCUCAACCUGGGAACUGCAUCUGAUACUGGCAAGCUUGAGUCUCGUAGAGGGGGGUAGAAUUCCAGGUGUAGCGGUGAAAUGCGUAGAGAUCUGGAGGAAUACCGGUGGCGAAGGCGGCCCCCUGGACGAAGACUGACGCUCAGGUGCGAAAGCGUGGGGAGCAAACAGGAUUAGAUACCCUGGUAGUCCACGCCGUAAACGAUGUCGACUUGGAGGUUGUGCCCUUGAGGCGUGGCUUCCGGAGCUAACGCGUUAAGUCGACCGCCUGGGGAGUACGGCCGCAAGGUUAAAACUCAAAUGAAUUGACGGGGGCCCGCACAAGCGGUGGAGCAUGUGGUUUAAUUCGAUGCAACGCGAAGAACCUUACCUGGUCUUGACAUCCACGGAAGUUUUCAGAGAUGAGAAUGUGCCUUCGGGAACCGUGAGACAGGUGCUGCAUGGCUGUCGUCAGCUCGUGUUGUGAAAUGUUGGGUUAAGUCCCGCAACGAGCGCAACCCUUAUCCUUUGUUGCCAGCGGUCCGGCCGGGAACUCAAAGGAGACUGCCAGUGAUAAACUGGAGGAAGGUGGGGAUGACGUCAAGUCAUCAUGGCCCUUACGACCAGGGCUACACACGUGCUACAAUGGCGCAUACAAAGAGAAGCGACCUCGCGAGAGCAAGCGGACCUCAUAAAGUGCGUCGUAGUCCGGAUUGGAGUCUGCAACUCGACUCCAUGAAGUCGGAAUCGCUAGUAAUCGUGGAUCAGAAUGCCACGGUGAAUACGUUCCCGGGCCUUGUACACACCGCCCGUCACACCAUGGGAGUGGGUUGCAAAAGAAGUAGGUAGCUUAACCUUCGGGAGGGCGCUUACCACUUUGUGAUCAUGACUG
rnacentral:rRNA from 1 species